rnacentral:rRNA from 1 species
GACGAAGGAUGCAAGCGUUAUCCGGAUUCAUUGGGUUUAAAGGGAGCGUAGGUGGCCUUAUAAGUCAGUGGUGAAAUCUCUGGGCUUAACCCAGAAAUUGCCAUUGAUACUGUAGGGCUUGAGUACAGUUGCUGUGGGCGGAAUAUGACAUGUAGUGGUGAAAUACAUAGAGAUGUCAUAGAACACCGAUUGCGAAGGCAGCUCACAAAACUGUAACUGACACUGAG